GAGAAUGAUGCAGAUCCACCGGAUGUUAGCGGAGGCCAGCAGUGAGACAAGUCCAUUGGCAAGCCAGCCCACAGUGGUAAUACGUGAAUAGCCCGUCUCAUCAUUGGCCCGAUCACCCUUCCCUAUUCAAGGCCUACCAAACGCCCUCCCACAUCUGAUAAAAUCCCUAUUUUCUACAACUUCCUUUCAAUUUUUUUCCAUUUCUUUUCUUCAAAGCUUAUGCAACAAAUCUAUUGCUUUCAACUCUCUCUCUCUCUCUCUCACGCAGAGACAUUCACACUCUCUGAGUCUGGUUCUCACACAUUGCUUCGUUUCCUUGUUCUUGAACCAGUGGCUUUUUGAGGAGUCCGUCUCUGAUCCGUCAUUUCCUUCUCGAGAUGAAGAUUAGCAAUUCUAAGCUUCUGAGGUGGUUUUGGUCUGAGCAAGUGACCAUGCCUUUGAGACGGGGAUCCUCUGGUGCUGGCCGCCGGAGGAACAGAAGCGGUUGCUGUCGUGUACCUUUCGCAAUUCUCCUUUUCUUUGCAGUUGCGCCCUUGCUUUUUCUCAUCGGACGGAAUCUCCACACCACUACCACCGCCACAAUCGAUCCAAGCGGAAUCCAAACUGGCACUAAUGUACAGAAUUUAGAUUGGCGAGAACAGCUGGCGAAGCAAUAUUUUACAUCCAUUUUCUCGAAAGAGGUCAUUGAUACCAUUACAGCGAACAUAGAUGACAUGGGACCAUUGAGCCUUGAUUUUGUUAGAAAAAACUCUUUGUCUUCUUCAUGGAAAGUUUUGGGGCUGGAAGAUUCUGACCAGAGUAAUUCUACUUUAACAGAGCCAAACCAAAUAAUUACGGGCAUAGAACGAGAUACUCCUCAAGUCAAACUGGAAAAUGUUACUACAGAUGAUAAUGCUCAAAUUCUUGAUAAACCUGAAAAAAGAGCCCGACGGGUAAAUAUCUGCUUUUAAGUAUUUCUUGCUGCGAUUAUUUUUUGGUGGAUUUGAUAGAACUCAUGACAUGGAGAAAUGAGAAAUAAAUACUGAUGUUUGCAAUUGCGAGAGAAAGGGCGUGAAAAAGGGGCAGCUUAUUUAGUCCACCAAGAUAAUGAAGCAAUCGUUAAGCUAGAAAAUAGUGCCAUUGAACGCUCAAAGGCUGUUGACUCUUCAGUUUUGGGGAAAUACAG